rnacentral:lncRNA from 1 species
GCCCUGGUGAAGGUGAGCCUAACAGGCUUCUGGGCUGUGACGCAGUGCAGUUUUUUUUUCUUUUUCCUAUUUGUCAUGAUUGGGCGUGCUGGGCCGAUAUGGGCCGCUUCGCUGCUUCUGGGCGAAAAAUAAAAUAGUAGGGCGCGCUGGGACUUAAGAUCGAAUGUAGGGGAGCAUAUCGACCACUGGGCUAUAGAGAAGGAUACGUUUUAAAAAAUAGUUAAUGUAAUUUUACCAUAUUGAGACUUAAAUUGUUAAGUAGGUCUAAAACUUUUUUUUAGGGGAAAGGGAUUUCAAGUAAACAUCAACCGUUUUAGAAUCAUCGACUAACACCGGACCAAGUUCUUCCGGCUAGCUGCAAGUAGGCCUG